UGGCAGAUUGGAGAUGAACGAAUUUUGUAACCGGCAUAGGAAAUCCUCCCACCCUCCCGCAGGUCUAAGGCAGCGCCCCAUGAGGAGAUCACCAGGGUGUCCUGUUGUCCGUUCCGAGUAAGAGACUAUAACCUGAAAGCAUGUCCCGACCUCCCAAGGCAAGCUCCGAUUAAGUCAGGACUCGCACAGCGGGGGAGCAUUAAACCCACACCAAGUAGCUGAUUAGGCAUCCUUGAGGUCCAACCUCCUAACCAACAGUGUUUCGCCUAGGAGAUUGGCCCAAGGGGGGGAAUUGAACUUGUAACCUUGGGGCUUAAACCCCAAGGCUUUACCACAAUGCCACAACCCCUUGGGUUAAGCAUUUUGACUAUGUUAUUGUGGGUUAUGAUUAUAUUGUGAUGGAUCUUAUCUUUUUGUUGAUAUUUUAUUGAAUAGAUUAAAAUGAAUAGGUUUUUGUUGAUGUUACCAAAUGAACAGUUUUUUGUAAUAAUUUGUAAUGGAUAUUAUAUUCAGUAGGUUAUUAAAAUGCACAAGUUAUUUU